AACGUGCCCAGUCGUGGGGGAUAACGUAGCGAAAGCUACGCUAAUACCGCAUACGAUCUACGGAUGAAAGCGGGGGACUCGCAAGAGCCUCGCGCGAUUGGAGCGGCCGAUAUCAGAUUAGGUUGUUGGUGAGGUAAAAGCUCACCAAGCCUGCGAUCUGUAGCUGGUCUGAGAGGACGACCAGCCACACUGGGGCUGAGACACGGCCCAGACUCCUACGGGAGGCAGCAGUGGGGAAUAUUGGACAAUGGGCGAAAGCCUGAUCCAGCAAUGCCGCGUGAGU
rnacentral:rRNA from 1 species